CGGCCAACUACUUGCCUCCACUCUCAGCCUUAAACCUCUCUGUCUUAGUUUUGAACUCUCUCUGUCUUUUUUCACUUGCAUCCUCUGCUCAUGUUAAGUAUCAAGUUCAAAGCGAAUUUGGAGCAUCCUCCAAAGAAGCCACCUUCAAAAGAUCCACUUCAGAAACAACCUUGGGACAAACGUCAGAAUGAUUUGGACCCAACCUUAACUAUGUUUCAUUCCAAACAAAAAUAAUAAAAGCUUUUCUAUGGCUCAUAAUAUCUCUCUUCUAGGAAUUCAAAGAUCCUCAUCUAAAAGUCAUCAUGGCAAUGAUAAGUUGUAUAAACAAGAGAAGCAAGACAACAAGUAUGCAAAGUUCAUCUCUGUGUCAACUUUUGUGUUUCUUCCCAUACUUGUAUGUAGUUUGAUAGUUUAAUAUUUUGAAUAAUUAAUAGCAUAAUAUUUAGACUUCCUAAACCUUUUGGAAUAUUUUGUUCUAAAUUUUAAGAAUAUUGUUGUAAGACAAGUUAAGUUUUAAUUUAAUUAUGUUUUUGUGUUUUGCA